UCUCCGUUGGUGAACCAGCGGAGGGAUCAUUACAGAGUUAUCUAACUCCCAAACCCAUGUGAACUUACCAUUUGUUGCCUCGGCAGAGCCUACCCGGUAACUGUUCGGAGAAGCUACCCUGUAGCUACCCUGUAACGGCUUACCCUGUAACGCACUGCCGGUGGACUUUUAAACUCUUGUUAUUUUUGAGUAAUCUGAGCGUCUUAUUGUAAUAAGUCAAAACUUUCAACAACGGAUCUCUUGGUUCUGGCAUCAAUGAAGAACGCAGC
rnacentral:misc_RNA from 1 species